rnacentral:rRNA from 1 species
UACAGAGGGUGCGAGCGUUGUUCGGAAUUAUUGGGCGUAAAGCGCUGGUAGGUGGCUUGUUAAGUCGCGUGUGAAAGCUCCAGGCUCAACCUGGAAAGUGCGCGCGAAACUGGCGAGCUUGAGUGCCGGAGAGGGUCGCGGAAUUCCCAGUGUAGAGGUGAAAUUCGUAGAUAUUGGGAGGAACACCAGAGGCGAAGGCGGCGACCUGGAAGGUAACUGACACUGAGCAGCGAAAGCGUGGGGAGCAAACAGG